rnacentral:rRNA from 1 species
UGGGCAAUCUGCCCCUAGCUCUGGGAUAACUCCGGGAAACCGGGGCUAAUACCGGAUACGACCUCGAGCGGCAUCACUUGAGGUGGAAAGUUUUUCGGCUAGGGAUGAGCCCGCGGCCUAUCAGCUUGUUGGUGAGGUAACAGCCCACCAAGGCGACGACGGGUAGCCGGCCUGAGAGGGCGACCGGCCACACUGGGACUGAGACACGGCCCAGACUCCGUGCGGGAGGCA